rnacentral:misc_RNA from 1 species
AGCUUUUUCGCUUCCCUGACUACCCUCUUACUGGAAAAAUUGCCGUGGCAGUUGAUGUUGAUGAGGUUCUUGGGAACUUUGUAUCGGCUUUGAACAGAUUUAUUGCUGAUCGGUACUCUUCCAAUCAUUCAGUAUCAGAGUACUAUGUUUACGAGUUCUCCAAGAUAUGGAACUGUUCCCGUGAUGAAGCCAAUGCUCGUGUCCAUGAGUUCUUUAAGACACCAUAUUUCAAAUCUGGGAUCUACCCAAUCCCCG